rnacentral:rRNA from 1 species
GACGAACGCUGGCGGCGUGCCUAACACAUGCAAGUCGAGCGGAGUCGAUCGACGGAAGCCUUCGGGCGGAAGAUGGUUGACUUAGCGGCGGAUGGGUGAGUAACGCGUGGGCAACCUGCCUCGAAGACCGGGAUAACAGCCCGAAAGGGCUGCUAAUACCGGAUGUGGUCAAGGAUCCGCAUGGAUUUUUGAUUAAAGGGGAAACCCGUUUCGAGAUGGGCCCGCGUCCUAUCAGCUAGUUGGUGAGGUAAAAGCUCACCAAGGCGACGACGGGUAGCCGGCCUGAGAGGGUGGACGGCCACACUGGAACUGAGACACGGUCCAGACUCCUACGGGAGGCAGCAGUGGGGAAUAUUGCGCAAUGGACGGAAGUCUGACGCAGCGACGCCGCGUGAGCGACGAAGGCCUUCGGGUCGUAAAGCUCUGUUCUUGGGGACGAAGGAAAUGACGGUACCCAAGGAGAAAGCCCCGGCUAACUACGUG